UACGAAGGGGGCUAGCGUUGUUCGGAAUUACUGGGCGUAAAGCGCGCGCAGGCGGUUUUUCAAGUCAGUGGUGAAAGCCCGGAGCUCAACUCCGGAAAUGCCAUUGAAACUGCAAAACUUGAGGACGAGAGAGGUGAGUGGAAUUCCCAGUGUAGAGGUGAAAUUCGUAGAUAUUGGGAAGAACACCGGUGGCGAAGGCGGCUCACUGGCUCGUUUCUGACGCUCAGGCGCGAUAGCGUGGGGAUCAAACAGG
rnacentral:rRNA from 1 species